rnacentral:rRNA from 1 species
UACGUAGGGGGCAAGCGUUGUCCGGAUUUAUUGGGCGUAAAGAGCGUGUAGGCGGCCAGGUAGGUCCGUUGUGAAAACUGGAGGCUUAACCUUCAGACGUCGAUGGAAACCAUCUGGCUAGAGUCCGGAAGAGGAGAAUGGAAUUCCUGGUGUAGCGGUGAAAUGCGCAGAUAUCAGGAAGAACACCCGUGGCGAAGGCGGUUCUCUGGGACGGUACUGACGCUGAGACGCGAAAGCGUGGGGAGCGAACAGGAUUAGAAACCCCCGUAGUCC